rnacentral:rRNA from 1 species
AUUGAACGCUGGUGGCAGGCCUAACACAUGCAAGUCGAACGAGUGGCGGACGGGUGAGUAAUGUCUGGGAAACUGCCCGAUUGAGAGGGAUAACUACUGGAAACGGUAGCUAAUACCGCAUACCAUCGGAUGUGCCCAGAUUGGAUUAGCUUGUAGGUGAGGUAACGUCUCACCUAGGCGACUAUUCCUAGCUGGUCUGAGAGGAUGACCAGCCAAACUGGAAAGGAGAUACGGUCCAGACUUCUACGGGAGGCAGCAGUGGGGAAUAUUGAACAAUGGGCGAAAUCCUGAUGCAGCCAUGCCGCGUGUAUGAAGAAGGCCUUCUGGUUGUAAAGUACUGUCAGCGGGGAGGCGUUAACAGCAGAAGAAGCAACGGCUAACUCCGUGCCAGCAGCCGCGGUAAUAC